rnacentral:rRNA from 1 species
CGUGCCUAACACAUGCAAGUCGUACGAGAAAGUUGGCUUCGGCCGAUGAGUAAAGUGGCGCACGGGUGAGUAACGCGUGGAUAAUCUGCCCUUUAGUGUGGAAUAACGUACCGAAAGGUGCGCUAAUACCGCAUAAUACUGAAUGACUACUGUUGUUCAGUCAAUGAAGGCUUCUGUUUACAUGCUUUUGCUGAAGGAUGAGUCCGCGUACCAUUAGCUAGUUGGUAGGGUAAUGGCCUACCAAGGCGACGAUGGUUAGCUGGUCUGAGAGGAUGAUCAGCCACACUGGAACUGAGACACGGUCCAGACUCCUACGGGAGGCAGCAGUGAGGAAUAUUGCGCAAUGGGGGCAACCCUGACGCAGCAACGCCGCGUGAGUGAGGAAGGUUUUCGGACCGUAAAGCUCUGUCGAGCGGGAAGAAGUGCAUGGUGGCUAAUAUCCAUCAUGCUUGACGGUACCGCUAAAGGAAGCACCGGCUAACUCCGUG